AGCCACAAUGUCAGGUUCUAAUGAUAUGACAAGAAGUAGCCACAAUGUCAGGUUCUAAUGAAGGGACAAGAAGUAGCCACAAUGUCAGGUUCUAAUGAAGGGGCAAGAAGUAGCCACAAUGUCAGGUCCUAAUGAAGGGACAAGAAGUAGCCACAAUGUCAGGUUCUAAUGAAGGGACAAGAAGUAGCCACAAUGUCAGGUUCUAAUGAAGGGGCAAGAA